GAUGAAGAACGUAGCGAAAUGCGAUAAGUAAUGUGAAUUGCAGAAUUCAGUGAAUCAUCGAAUCUUUGAACGCACAUUGCGCCCGCUAGUAUUCUGGCGGGCAUGCCUGUCCGAGCGUCAUUUCAACCCUCAAGCCCCCGGGCUUGGUGUUGGGGAUCGGCGAGCCUCCGCGCCCGCCGUCCCCUAAAUCUAGUGGCGGUCUCGCUGUAGCUUCCUCUGCGUAGUAGCACACCUCGCACUGGGAAACAGCGCGGCCACGCCGUUAAACCCCCAACUUCUGAACGUUUGACCUCGGAUCAGGUAGGAAUACCCGCUGAACUUAAGCAUUCAAUAAGCGGAGGA
rnacentral:misc_RNA from 1 species